rnacentral:rRNA from 1 species
AUUGAACGCUGGCGGAAUGCUUUACACAUGCAAGUCGAACGGCAGCACGGACUUCGGUGUGGUGGCGAGUGGCGAACGGGUGAGUAAUGUAUCGGAACGUGCCCAGUCGUGGGGGAUAACGUAGUGAAAAUUACGCUAAUACCGCAUACGAUCUAUGGAUGAAAGCGGGGGAUCGCAAGACCUCGCGCGAUUGGAGCGGCCGAUAUCAGAUUAGGUAGUUGGUGGGGUAAAGGCCCACCAAGCCAACGAUCUGUAGCUGGUCUGAGAGGACGACAAGCCACACUGGAACUGAGACACGGUCCAGACUCCUACGGGAGGCAGCAGUGGGGAAUUUUGGACAAUGGGCGAAAGCCUGAUUCAGCCAUUCCGCGUGCAGGAUGAAGGCCCUCGGGUUGUAAACUGCUUUUGUACAGAACGAAAAGGUUUCUACUAAUACUAGGAGCUCAUGACGGUACUGUAAGAAUAAGCACCGGCUAACUACGUGCCAGCCGCCGCCGUAA